CCUACGGGGGGCUGCAGUGAGGAAUAUUGGUCAAUGGGCGGAAGCCUGAACCAGCCAAGUAGCGUGCAGGAUGACGGCCCUACGGGUUGUAAACUGCUUUUAUACGGGAAUAACGCGCCUUACGCGUAGGGCUUUGCAUGUACCGCAUGAAUAAGGACCGGCCAAUUCCGUGCCAGCAGCCGCGGUAAUACGGAAGGUCCGGGCGUUAUCCGGAUUUUUUGGGUUUAAAGGGAGCGUAGGCCGGAUGUCAAGCGUGCUGUGAAAUGUUCGGGCUCAACCCGGGCCUUGCAGCGCGAACUGGCGUGCUUGAGUCCGCGGAAAGCAGGCGGAAUUCGUCGUGUAGCGGUGAAAUGCUUAGAUAUGACGAAGAACCCCGAUUGCGAAGGCAGCUUGCUGCAGCGGAACUGACGCUGAUGCUCGAAAGCGCGGGUAUCGAACAGGAUUAGAUACCCCGGUAGUC
rnacentral:rRNA from 1 species